CCAUUCAAAAACUAACUGUUGGUCAAAGUAUACACAAUUUUCACUUGUCAAAAACAGUUAUAAGUCAAAAACAGAUAACAUUCAAACAUUAGAGCCUUAAUCCCCCCAAUCCUCCUUUUUUUGGUGAUUUGCCUUUCUUGCUCUUUAUGGCUCCCAUCUUUAUGUUAGGCCUAGUCCACGUAGGCUGAUUAGGUUGAGAGCUUGAUGUGGGUUGAUUAGGUAUUUCUGAAGUGGUUGUAGCAUUAGCAGUUCCUUG
rnacentral:lncRNA from 1 species